AACGCACAUUGCGCCCCUUGGUACUCCAUGGGGCAUGCCUGUUCGAGCGUCAUUUACACCCUCAAGCAAUGCUUGGUGUUGGGCGUCUGUCCCGCUGCUACGCGCGGACUCGCCCCAAAAUCAUUGGCGGCUUCACGGUCGGCUCCCAGCGCAGCAGAAUCAGCGCUCUGGCGGGUUCGACCGCGCGGCAUCCAUCAAGACAUUUUACAUUUUGUUUGACCUCGGAUCAGGUAGGGAUACCCGCUGAACUUAA
rnacentral:misc_RNA from 1 species